rnacentral:lncRNA from 1 species
UGCUUAAAACCAAAACAUUAGUGUGCAUAAGUAUUUUUAAUUUAUUUACAAUAAACUGGAAUUUCGGGAUAAGAUUUAAAUAUAAGUUACGAGGGCGGUCCGACAAGUGACACCACUAGCCUCACCCUCUAGUGGCGCCACUAUCGCAAGAGAAAUGUAUCGUGUGAAAUAUAUGCUAUAACUGGCAUUUUUGUACAAUUAAACUAAGAUAUUUUAAAACCAGUGCCUUAAAUCAUAGUUUUGCAAGAGUAACUUUUUUUCCAAAUUAAAUGGAGAAUGUAACAGUUGACUUUUUAUCACCUCGCAGAUUUGAGACAAAAAAGGACCAAAUCCCUCCGUAUGUUACGCCACUGGCAAUUUUUUUCUAAGAUUGGUUUCAUCAAUAAUUUACUACAAUAACGUGCAUGCGAAAUUUAAUUAACAUUGAGCUGGUAUUUUAAUAUUAUGAUAAAUAAACAAUUUAUUAUUCUUAACUUUAGCACUCUGUAUCUUUGUUAUUAAAUAUUUCUGCGAAAAGUUUUAUAAUGAAAGUCUUAUUUCUUUUUAAAUUCUCUAUCACGUAUUAAAAUUAAUGACGUUUAAACUGGACCACCCUGUAUAUUGGUACACCGGUAGCUGCAUCUAACUCUGGUGUGCUAUUAUCUAACGAAAACAGAGAUUUUGAGAAACAGUUAUUUAAGUUUAUAACAGUUUGAAUAUGGUUUUCAUUUCCUGCAGUUAGCCGAGAUUUGCCAUAAAGUAGAGAGUCUACUAUGUUUAGGAACCUUAUUCUCACUAUCGAGUGAUUCCAACUUAUCAACUAAGCACCGGUUUAUCUCCGAUAAGUCAGCGUUUUUGGUUUGUUGUCUAAUAAAUUCCUUCUUAAUUGUCAUCAGUUCAUCCUUUAAUUGUUGAAUGUUGGUGUCCCGUGCUUUAACCACCAAAAAAACUUCAUCGUCCAAAGCUUUAGUUCGCAUCUGAAGCCGUUUGAUGUGAUCAUCUUUCAAUAUAUUUUCCCCAAUUAAUCCAUUAAUUUCGGAUCCAAGAUUUGAUAAGUCAUCGACUUCUGCCUCAAGUUUAAAAAUAUACUUUUUUGACCCGAUUGAAUUUUGAGUGAUUCGUACUGUUGGGAUAUUUAUUGAAUUUACAUACAUUUGUAUAAUUUUAGACCUAAAUCUUUGUAGGGUCAGUAAUCAAAGACCUUUUUUUAAGAUUUUUACCUGCAUAACCCGAAAUUUUCCAUAUAAGAUGAGACUCAAAAAAAAUGAUGAGUAGUCCCAAAUAAGCUAUUAUGUACUACUUUACUUUUCAGAUCUAAAUUAAUUCUGUUCCCUGUACAUCAAAAGGCUAAGUUGAGAGCUGGUGAAGCCACUGCCAAAGAAAGGAAAGUCGCCACUCAGUUGACUGGUGAAGUCCUGCCAAUUAGACAGCCUGCUCUGAAAACCAAGGCUCGUGUACCAACAGAAGAAGAAAAGAACUUUAAUGCCUAUGUCACCCUUAGGAAAGCCCGCGCUGAUGCCAGGUUAGUUGGUAUUCGUGCCAAGAGAGCAAAGGAUGCAGCUGAACACCUAGAAGAUGUAUAUGCAUAUUCACGUACAAGUAGUAAUCUCGCUACUUCUGUGAUCAUUGUUUAUUCACUAUUCUCUUGAUCGUUAUUAUAGACAUUUUGUAAUAUUGUUAAUUAUUAUUUUGAAUAAACUAUUAUUAUUAUUAUUAUUAUGUAACCAAGGCUGGCAAAGAAAAGAAAGCCAAGAAGUAAAUAAGUGAAUAUUUACUUCAAGUUUUUUUUUACAUUGUUAGGACUAUAAAAGAAAAUAAAAAAUGGUUUCCAUAAAA